AAGGUGCCUCGACCAUUUUCUGCCUGGGCCGGAUGACAUCUAACCCAUCCGCUCCGUUCUCGGGUGCUCAGUUCCCUCAGAUGACUUUCCAGCCCAGAGGAAGGAAUGAGAGCGCUUUGGAGGUUGCGGGAGAAGAAAUUUACAGCUGGGCAAGCUUUGGGCUGCGGUCCAAGUCUUCCUAAUUGAGAAACAGCGAGGCGCUCGGAGGUGGAAGGAGUGGAGCUCAUAAACACAGAAAGCGGCUCUCUGUUUCCAUGCUUCAGGCUGGCCAGGCACAUUGGGACUGGGAAAGAUCCCCCAGUUCCCCAUGCCUGCCUGUCAAGAGAAUUCAAUCCGAAGACCGCGGAGGAACGGCGUUCUCGCAGCCACAAGCUCAGCAGAAAUCGGAAAUACGCAAGGCAACGCAAACAGAGAUCCCACCGGGGCUGCAGAGCUGAGCGCCUGAAGCUUUCCGAUGAGGGCGGAAGCGGACCCCCGACUUUUCAGAGACGUUCCCGAAAGCAGAGCUGCAGCGUUUUCAAGCCGAGCUAUCGGUUCGCAUGGUGCCUUAAACACUUUCCGUGGGCUAAAAAACAGGAACCCCUGAUGAAUCAGGGGCAGACUGCAGGCUUGCAUUUUUCUCAGAAGUCCUUCAAAUGACCAGAGCAGACGGAAAGGACCACUUCACAAUUUCCCUUCUCCCUCACACAGGAACAAACGCUUCUUCAAAGAAGAGGUCUGUGAGGACACAUCAAAACAGGAAGUGGACUUCUUGCUGCAACCCCCCCCUCCCCUCCAGGUUUUGAACCUGGUUUAAUUAACUAACUAGCCUCAAAGAAGAACUGCCAACACUCAGACUAAAUAAACCUGCAAGAAUUGCAUUUCCCCCUGCAGUCUUUCCAGUUGCUCGCAAAACGUUUGCCAGGAUAGCAGCCAGAACCAGGGCAGGGAGAUCUUAAUUUGGGCAUUAAGCGUCUCUUCCAUCGACACGAAGCAAAACUGCAAGAGCAGCAGAACACUGAACUCCUCAUUGUAUGCCAGCCAUCAGAUCUGCAACCGCAGAUGGGAGGAGAAACUUGGACAUGCCGCAACAGACCCGCAGCCGGAGGCCGCUGAUGAGGCCGGUCGGUGAAAAGCCAGGCUUGCGACAAGUUCCACUGCUGCCUUCCAUCCAGGCACCACUUGGAGAGUUGGACCAGAUGCCAACCGGCUUCCAGUCACGGGCUCAAAGCGGCUGGCCUCAGCCUCUAGGACCAGAACGAGAACCAGAAAAUGCCCGCUCCCUUUAUGAACCCGGCUGCGGUUCUUGCUCUGUAUCAGGUCUUCUAACUGAGCUGCACCAGGGCUUCUUGGUUGUGGCACGUCACCCUGGGGACCCCCUGCCCUGGCAGCGGUCCGUCUCAUUCCGCAUCGCUCCCAUGCCACAAAGCCACGCAGAAAGAGUGCCACUGCAGUUCCCAACAUCUUGGGCCGCCGGCUGCACGGGCAAGGGCCCUCGAGAGUUCUGCGGGGGUCCCAAAUUGCCAAAGGAUGCUUUAAGCCUCAACCGCAACCAAACUAACAAUAGAACCCAGAAGUGCACCACAUAGCGGGCGCGAGAAUAUAAAAAUUCACAAGUU